rnacentral:rRNA from 1 species
CCUACGGGAGGCAGCAGUGAGGAAUAUUGGUCAAUGGACGAGAGUCUGAACCAGCCAAGUAGCGUGAAGGAUGACUGCCCUAUGGGUUGUAAACUUCUUUUAUAUGGGAAUAAAACGUUCCACGUGUGGGAUUUUGUAUGUACCAUAUGAAUAAGGAUCGGCUAACUCCGUGCCAGCAGCCGCGGUAAUACGGAGGAUCCGAGCGUUAUCCGGAUUUAUUGGGUUUAAAGGGAGCGUAGGUGGAUUGUUAAGUCAGUUGUGAAAGUUUGCGGCUCAACCGUAAAAUUGCAGUUGAAACUGGCAGUCUUGAGUACAGUAGAGGUAGGCGGAAUGCGUGGUGUAGCGGUGAAAUGCUUAGAUAUCACGAAGAACUCCGAUUGCGAAGGCAGUUCACUGGACUGCAACUGACACUGAGGCUCGAAAGUGUGGGUAUCAAACAGGAUUAGAUACCCUAGUAGUC